GUCGAACGCGCAGCGAAAGGUGCUUGCACCUUUCAAGCGAGUGGCGAACGGGUGAGUAACACGUGGAUAACCUGCCUCAAGGCUGGGGAUAACAUUUGGAAACAGAUGCUAAUACCGAAUAAAACUUAGUAUCGCAUGAUACAAAGUUGAAAGGCGCUACGGCGUCACCUAGAGAUGGGUCCGCGGUGCAUUAGUUAGUUGGUGGGGUAAAGGCCUACCAAGACAAUGAUGCAUAGCCGAGUUGAGAGACUGAUCGGCCACAUUGGGACUGAGACACGGCCCAAACUCCUACGGGAGGCUGCAGUAGGGAAUCUUCCACAAUGGGCGAAAGCCUGAUGGAGCAACGCCGCGUGUGUGAUGAAGGCUUUAGGGUCGUAAAGCACUGUUGUAUGGGAAGAAAUGCUAGAAUAGGGAAUGAUUCUAGUUCGACGGUACCAUACCAGAAAGGGACGGCUAAAUACGUGCCAGCAGCCGCGGUAAUACGUAUGUCCCGAGCGUUAUCCGGAUUUAUUGGGCGUAAAGCGAGCGCAGACGGUUGAUUAAGUCUGAUGUGAAAGCCCGGAGCUCAACUCCGGAAUGGCAUUGGAAACUGGUUAACUUGAGUGUUGUAGAGGUAAGUGGAACUCCAUGUGUAGCGGUGGAAUGCGUAGAUAUAUGGAAGAACACCAGUGGCGAAGGCGGCUUACUGGACAACAACUGACGUUGAGGCUCGAAAGUGUGGGUAGCAAACAGGAUUAGAUACCCUGGUAGUCCACACCGUAAACGAUGAAUACUANGUGUUAGGAGGUUUCCGCCUCUUAGUGCCGAAGCUAACGCAUUAAGUAUUCCGCCUGGGGAGUACGACCGCNAGGNUGAAACUCAAAGGAAUUGACNGGGGNNCCGCACAAGCGGUGGAGCAUGUGGUUUAAUUCGAAGCAACGCGAAGAACCUUACCAGGNCUUGACAUCCUUUGAAGCUUUANAGAUAGAAGUGUUCUCUUCNGANANAAGUGACAGGUGUGCANGGUCGUCGUCAGCNNCGUGNCNNGAGAUGUGGNUAAGNNCCGCAACGAGNCGCAACCCUUAUUGUUANNUUGCCAGCAUU
rnacentral:rRNA from 1 species